ACCUACGGGAGGCAGCAGUGGGGAAUAUUGCACAAUGGGGGAAACCCUGAUGCAGCGACGCCGCGUGAGUGAAGAAGCGCCUCGGCGCGUAAAGCUCUGUCAGCAGGAACGACGAUGACGGUACCUGAAGAAGAAGCCCCGGCUAACUACGUGCCAGCAGCCGCGGUAAUACGUAGGGGGCAAGCGUUAUCCGGAUUUACUGGGUGUAAAGGGAGCGUAGACGGCGGGGCAAGUCUGGAGUGAAAGGCCGGGGGUGA
rnacentral:rRNA from 1 species